UACGGAAGGCAGCAGUGGGGAAUAUUGCACAAUGGGCGAAAGCCUGAUGCAGCUAUGCCGCGUGUAUGAAGAAGGCCUUAGGGUUGUAAAGUACUUUCAUCGGAGAGGAAAAAACAAAACUAAUAAUUUUAUUUCUUGACGUUACCCGAAAAAGAAGCACCGGCUAACUCCGUGCCAGCAGCCGCGGUAAUACGGAGGGUGCUAGCGUUAAUCAGAAUUACUGGGCGUAAAGAGCACGUAGGUGGUUUUUUUAAGUCAGAUGUGAAAUCCCUGGGCUUAACCUAGGAACUGCAUUUUGAAACUGAAAUACUAGAGUAUCGUAGAGGGAGGUAGAAUUCUAGGUGUAGCGGUGAAAUGCGUAGAUAUCUGGAGGAAUACCUGUGGCGAAAGCGGCCUCCUAAACGAAUACUGACACUGAGGUGCGAAAGCGUGGGGAGCAAAACAGGGAUUAGAUACC
rnacentral:rRNA from 1 species